AUUGAACGCUGGCGGCAGGCCUAACACAUGCAAGUCGAACGGCAGCACAGAAGAGCUUGCUCUUUGGGUGGCGAGUGGCGGACGGGUGAGUAAUGUCUGGGAAACUGCCCGAUGGAGGGGGAUAACUACUGGAAACGGUAGCUAAUACCGCAUAACGUCGCAAGACCAAAGUGGGGGACCUUCGGGCCUCACACCAUCGGAUGUGCCCAGACGAGAUUAGCUAGUAGGUGGGGUAAUGGCUCACCUAGGCGACGAUCCCUAGCUGGUCUGAGAGGAUGACCAGCCACACUGGAACUGAGACACGGUCCAGACUCCUACGGGAGGCAGCAGUGGGGAAUAUUGCACAAUGGGCGCAAGCCUGAUGCAGCCAUGCCGCGUGUAUGAAGAAGGCCUUCGGGUUGUAAAGUACUUUCAGCGGGGAGGAAGGCGGUGAGGUUAAUAACCUCGCCGAUUGACGUUACCCGCAGAAGAAGCACCGGCUAACUCCGUGCCAGCAGCCGCCGUAA
rnacentral:rRNA from 1 species